AGGAAAAAUAAAAGGAUCCUAACAAUCCUGCCUCCUUCAAUUCAGCCUUGUCCUCAAGGCUGAGCAGCAUCAAAUUCUGGAAACUUCUCCUUUAGCAUGUUGUAGGACUCCCAAGUGGCAUCUUCCUUUGGUAAGUUGGCCCAUUGCACCAGCACUUCAGUUACAGGAUGUAUGCGGUACAUUACAACUCGUCGAUCAAGUAU
rnacentral:lncRNA from 1 species